CAGCACUGUAAGUCGUUUCUCAACCGUACAAACACGACCACCAUCUUUACAUCAUCAAGCCUCUCCUCCUGUUCCAGUCUUCCUUUGUGAAAUCACUUCCUCCACAGCCAGACGAAUAUAAAAGGGCUCUCUCCACAACAUUCUGGUGCUUCCAUUUUAGCUAACGAUGACAAAUUAUACCGAUCAUAAUUAUAACAGCAAUAAUAGUAGUGAUGAAGAUGAACCUUUUACUGCACUGUUGUUUUGAGGGGGGAGGGGGCUUACAGUACAUGAUACAGUACACAUUACUGCUGGUUUACAGUUGAUGUAUUACAUGUGUUACAGUUGCUUCAGAAGGCGUUGGUACAGAUACUCACAGACUCGACACCUGUAUGAUGUUAUAUCAUCAUCAUGUGACCUGAACUGACCGCUCACUCCAUAUCCUCCCUAGCUGCAUCCCAAAUAGCAUCCUAUUCCCUUUCUAGUACACUACUCAUGACCAGGACCCUGCACCACAAGGUCAAAAGUAGUGCACUAUUAUAAGGAAUGGAGUGAAAUUUGCAAUGUAAUCAACUGUCUUUAUUACCUGUAAGCCUAUCUAGUCUGGACCACCAGGCAGUGUAGCCAUACAUGUACUGAAACCUUAUAACACAGUCCUACAGUAACCAAUACAGCUCUGUUCUACUCAUCACAAAACUCCACUCUAUAAGGGGUAAACCAAUCACACGUGCUGUGAUGUCAUCAUAGAAUCGCUCUCAUGAUAGGCCAUUGUAUUUUUCUGGGGACUUCCAACUCUGUGCAAAGUACAGCUUCACUUGAGUCGACCAUGAAAUCUUUAUAAAGGGACGUUAAUAAUACGAGAAUAUACGAACGUAGUGCAGAAACGAUUAUCAUUUAAAAAGCUUUUGACGGGCGAUAUUUAACUGACAUAGUAACAACGACAAGGUGAUCUUUAAAAUGAUUUAUGGCAUAUCAAAUACCAAGAAGGAUCAUCGUUAAUGGUUCCAAUAUAAAUCUCUAUGUUUGGCUAAAGCCUCUUAGAACUAACGGUUGCUUUGAUAGAUAGAAGGGGUUAGAAGACAUUAAAAAGAGUAAGAAAAAAAAAGUGAAGCACAAUUGAAUAAAACAGAUUUUUUUUGUUGCAGACUCUGGCUAGUUUACAAAGAGAAACUGAUCAUCAAUAAUAACAUCGUUCACAAAGAGAAACUGAUCAUCAAUAAUAACAUAGCCUCUACUGUUAGUGUGGGUGGUUAGGGGCGGGGUCAGAAAACAGCCAAUAGAAAUGGUCCUAGAGGAAACAGAUAAGGGCUGAUACAGUGAUCCAUCCAUCGGACAGACUGCCUGUGUCGGACAGACUGCCUGUGUCGGACAGACUGCCUGUGUCGGACAGACUGCCUGUGUCGGACAGACUGUUGGUGAAAGGGUGUAAAGACUGUUGGUGAAAGGGUGUAAAGACUGUUGGUGAAAGGGUGUAAAGACUGUUGGUGAAAGGGUGUUGGUGAAAGGGUGUUGGUGAAAGGGUGUUGGUGAAAGGGUGUUGGUGAAAGGGUGUAAAGACUGUACUCUAUGGGCUGCUUUAAAGCGGAACGACCUAAUGAGGGGGACAGAGGGAGGAAGAGAGCGAGAACGGUGAAGACGGGGGUGAAGAGAGAGGUGGGGUUGAAGGGCGAGGUGAAGAGAGAGGUGGGGUUGAAGGGCGAGGAGGGGGGUGAAGAGAGAGGUGGGGUUGAAGGGCGAGGGGGGUGAAGAGAGAGGUGGGGUUGAAGGGCGAGGGGUGAAGAGAGAGGUGGGGUUGAAGGGCGAGGUGAAGAGAGGAGGGGUUGAAGGGCGAGGGGUGAAGAGAGAGGUGGGGUUGAAGGGCGAGGGGUGAAGAGAGAGGUGGGGUUGAAGGGCAAGGGGGGGGUGAAGAGAGAGGUGGGGUUGAAGGGCGGGGGGGGGGGGUGAAGAGAGAGGUGGGGUUGAAGGGCGAGGGGGUGAAGAGAGAGGUGGGGUUGAAGGGCGAGGUGAAGAGAGGUGGGGUUGAAGGGCGAGGGUGAAGAGAGAAGGGAUGUUGGUAUAUAGAGGAAUAUUAAAAUAAGCAAUAAAAUCACUGAUCAAUAAAAUCUAAUACAACUAAAUCAGACACGGAUAACAAUGGGAGAGUAAUUAUGUUGUUGUUGACUUUAUCCAUACUAGCUAGUGUCUAACUCAGGGUGUGACAUCAAUGUGUGUGUGUGUGUGUGUGUGUGUGUGUGUGUGUGUGUGUGUGUGUGUGUGUGUGUGUGUGAGUGUGUGUGUGUGUGUGUGUGUGUGUGUGUGUGUGUGUGAGUGUGUGUGUGUGUGUGUGUGAGUGUGUGUGUGUGUGUGUGCACGUACUCUUACGAGUGAGUCAAGAGGGAUGUGUGUGUGUCAGACUGCAGCUCGGUACAACUGUAGAGUUACCAAGUGUCUCUGCUUCACCCACAGACAGUAACUGACGAGGAACAGCAACAUCACUUCAGCACAAACACAGAGAGGGCUGGUAACAACUACUGUGUGUGUGUGUGAGUAAGUAUUCUUACGAGUGAGUCGACAGGGAUGUGCGUAAUUUUGCCAGCUAGCGGAGCGACUUAAGUUAGGCCCACUCCUCCUCCUGGCUGAACAGAAAUAGUCAUGACCUGCAGUGUCCCGUCAUCUUAUUGUGCUACAGUAACGUCAUGUGAAAAGGUUAAAGCAUUAUUCAUGGAGUGCAAAUUCCGUCACAAUAUUGUUUAGAACGUUCGUUUUGAACUGAUGCACGACUGAGCAUUCUACUCAAUGAGCGCCGAUGAAGAUUUCAUCAAAAGUGCAUUACAGUGGCUUGGGAAUACAAUGACACUCAAAAGGAGGCAAAUAAUUAGUAGGAAAACCUUUUGAUGUCGCCAGAUUGACUUUAGAUACAGUAUAACGUUAGCUAGCUAGCUAAGAUUGAGGUGAGGCCACCAGAUAGACUUUAAAUGCAGUGUAACGUUAGCUAGCUAGCCACCAGAUUGACUUUAGAUGCAGUGUAACGUUAGCUAGCUAGCCACCAGAUUGACUUUAGAUGCAGUGUAACGUUAGCUAGCUAGCCACCAGAUUGACUUUAGAUGCAGUGUAACGUUAGCUAGCUAGCCACCAGAUUGACUUUAGAUGCAGUGUAACGUUAGCUAGCUAAAAUGGAGGUGAGGCCAUUUUUUUUAUUAGGUUUUUGACAAACUUUGCUAGCUAAUGACAACAUUGCAAUCAAAGUAAAUUUGAAGGCAUGAUAACGCUUGCAAACUUUUUCCUACUAAAUACUUGACUACUUUAGCAAUGUCAUUGUAUUUCCAGAAUUACUUUUUUUUAAUCGCAACUUUAGGGCGCCGCCGAUAGAGGCCUGCUUGAGAACGUUCACAACAAUGGCAUGAUGCGACAUAGUGAGGGAGGUGCAUCCUAUGAAUAUGUACUCUCUGUGUGUGUGUGUGUAUAUAUAUAAAAAAUAUAUGAGUCGUAGUCGUUCAGUCAUGCUGGGUAUUAUAUGACCAGUGGGGCUCUUCUCUAGCCAGUCUAGGGGUUCAAAUCUGUCUGCUAGAUAGCCCUGAGACGACUGGAUUAAAAGACUGUUGUUGUUCUCAAUACUUCAUGUGGGAUUAAGAUCCAAAGUCUCGUUUUACAACAACCAUCAGAAGGCAGAGAUGAUUUGCUUGUAAACAGUUCCACAACCCUUGCACGCCAUGGAGUCUUGAGCCGCAGCUUUCCAAAAUCAUUUUGGUUGAAGUGUAUUUAGAUGUUAUGUUUGCUUUGGCAACUUUGGGCUUUGUGGGGCUAUGUAGAUGCUACUAAGGUAGUUGUGGUUGGAACUGGACUAUUUAGCAGACAGAAUGUCACCCUUUCUGUUUGUGUUUUAACUACAGUCCUGUAGAGUUUAGUCCAAUACUGUUACUACUGUCCUACAACUACAGUAACAACACUCCUAACAAUUCUCUGUACGCUUCAGCAAGUCAUAUCAAUAACCAGCCAUCAAUAAGACCCUGGUUUUCAUUUGGUAGUUGUUUGUUGACAAGUUAACGGGCCGUUUGUUGUGUCUCAGUGUAACGGAUCUUAACGGUGGGCUCAGUGAUUUAAAUAUCAACACUGACUGUGUACCCUAUGAGUAUAAGGCUGAAGAUCAACAACAGAGGCAGUCUUGUGGAAUCCUUAGGUUCUUCACAGGAACGAAGAGGAUCAGUCAGAAUGUAGGGAAUAGGGUGCCAUUUCAUCUGGGCAGGGUUUCCUUCAGUUAAACAGUUAAGAUUUUAGACCAGCGUUUCCCCAACUCAGUCACCCCCCCCCUCUCCCGGGUGCACCUUUUGGUUCUGACCCAGCACUACACAGCUGAUUCAAUAACCAACUCAUCGGCAAGCUUUGAUUAUUUGAAUCAGUUGUGUAGUGCUAGGGGGGGGGGGGAAACCCCUUGGCGUCCCCAGGUACGAGUUUGGGAAACAUUGUCUUAGGCCUAACCAUCAGAUAGAUAGAGCAUCAAGUCUUUGACAUGGUCUCCUUCUGUUGCCUUGCCUUGUCAGGGGUUCAUAUAGGGUGCCUCCCAAAUGGUACCCCAUUCCCUAUAUAGUGCACUACUUUUGACCAAAGCCCUAUGGGGGUAGCCCUAUGGGCCAUAAACAGAACUAGUGCAGUAGAAGGACUAGGAGUCCUUUGGGCAGCAUCCAUGUCCCUACGCUGGUUAAAUUGAGUUGAUUCAGUCCAUGUUAUUUCUACAGAUGUCCAGGAGACAGACAGAUCAAUCCUACUACUCUGCUCUGUCGUCUACUAACAUUAAAACAAGACAAUACUCUGAUUCCUCUCAGAGCACACCUAUUAAGGGAAUACUUAUUUUGUCCUCUAUCAUAAUUAUAAAACUAUUUAGGAUCUUUAGAUUGUGGGCAGAACAUUCAUGUGUUCCCACCCCAAACCCCUGCUGAUUGUGGAGGUAGUUUGGGGGAAGUGCUUCUUGUUGUUGGUUAAAGAGCUGAGAACGGCUGUGCUAUCGCCGUGGCGACUGCUAACCAAUCACCAGGCGGGGUUGGGGAGGCGGUGCUACCAGGCCUGUCCUGAUUGGCCAGCCAGCUGACAGGGCUGGUGUGGGUCUAUGCUUUGGGACUUCAUCAGGUCUUGUCUAUAACGGCAACCUACCCCCCAUAAUGCACUGCUUCUGAUGAACAGGAGUAGUAGUGCACCAUGUAGGAAAUAGGGUGCCAUUUGAGACGUGCCAGUCAGAGGGGCAGCACUCUGACCCCCGACGUGGCACCAUGUUUGUCCUGACUGUGUUUUAACCUGUUAGGGGAUCCAGUGGGACUCUUCUGAAGACCACUGCUCACAUUUAAACAGCUAUUGUUAACAAGGGGCAUAUUAACACACAAAGGAGUCUCUAAAUGUGUCUAAUGUUAAAAUAGAUCUCUAGAGGUCAAAGAAAUGUCCUAGGUCACAGGGGAACCCUAUCAGACAGACUGUCAAUUCAUCAAUAAUCACAAUGAAUGCAACAUUAGUUAAGUGCUCCCCAUUGGGAUAUAUAAUAAGAGCAUAGGGGAUAAUGCAGUAAUAUAAUAUAGGGGUAAGAGCUUCCAUACGUUGGAGCGUCAGGUUAAGGUGCGUACAUAAAUCUGUGGUCAAGGGGGUCUCAACACGGCUGGGCUAGGCUAAAUUAGCAUGCUACCAUAUUAACGUAAGUGCUAAUGUUAUUCAAGGGUCUGGCCUACGUUAGCAUGCUAACGCAUUAGCGGUGCAAAUGCUACUGAAGGGGCUAAGCUAUACACCGACGCUCAGGGUAAUAUUUUAUAUUUUUGAUGUAACUUUUAUUUAACUAGACAAGUCAGUUAAGAACAAAUUCUUAUUUACAAUGAUGGCCUACCGGGGAACAGUGGGUUAACUGCCUUGUUCAGGGGCAGAACGACAGAUUUUUACCUUGUUAGCUCGGGGAUUCGAUCCAGUAACCUUUCGGAUACUAGCCCAACACUUUAACCACUAGGCUACUUGCCGCCCAGGUAGUGUUGUGAUUAGCAAAACAACGCAGCGUAGCUAAUACAGAUGGGUCUGGAGGGAGGGGUUAGAGGCGCGGCUAACGCUAAUAGAUCAUUAUCGGUGGUGUAUUUAGCAAACGCCAUGUCAUCCUCCUCUUCCUCUCUGACCUCACAUGGAACACCGCUUGCCACGAGGUCCCUAUGGCAACCAUUUACAUCUGUGGUCAUGGGGUCUCAACACGGCUGGGCAACUAAACUUGUAAUGGCUACCAAGCCGAGGAACUAACAGACUAGCCAACACUGUGUGUUUAGUGUCGACGUUACUGUGCGUGUAAACCCACUAUUACUACCACUAAACACUGUAGUUCCAAGUCUAACUGUGCGGACCUCGGUAGGGGAGUGUAGAUCACAUCAUCCCAUUUCAAUUCACAAUAAAUUUGACCACUAGGAAGGGAUCAUUACAACAUGAGACAGUGUGCUGGGGCUACAACAGCCAUGUG
rnacentral:lncRNA from 1 species